rnacentral:rRNA from 1 species
AACGUAGGAGACGAACGUUAUCCGGAGUUACUGGGCGUAAAGGGCUCGUAGGCGGUCUGUCGCGUCGAAUGUGAAAACCCGGGGCUCAACUCCGGGCUUGCAUUCGAUACGGGCAGGCUAGAGUUCGGUAGGGGAGACUGGAAUUCCUGGUGUAGCGGUGAAAUGCGCAGAUAUCAGGAGGAACACCGGUGGCGAAGGCGGGUCUCUGGGCCGAUACUGACGCUGAGGAGCGAAAGCGUGGGGAGCAAACAGG